UACGGAGGAUGCGAGCGUUAUCCGGAUUUAUUGGGUUUAAAGGGUGCGUAGGCGGGAUGCCAAGUCAGCGGUAAAAAUGCGGUGCUCAACGCCGUCGAGCCGUUGAAACUGGCGUUCUUGAGUGGGCGAGAAGUAUGCGGAAUUCGUGGUGUAGCGGUGAAAUGCAUAGAUAUCACGAAGAACCCCGAUUGCGAAGGCAGCAUACCGGCUCCACACUGACGCUGAGGCACGAGAGCGUGGGUAUCGAACAGG
rnacentral:rRNA from 1 species